AUUAUUCCGAUGGUCUGGAUCGGACCUUUCUCUGCAGUGAUAUUCCAAAAUCGUGGUUAUCACCGGGUGAAAACUGGUAGAGGUGCGAUCUAGCCGGGCCUU
rnacentral:pre_miRNA from 18 species